GACGAACGCUGGCGGCGUGCUUAACACAUGCAAGUCGUACGGUAAGGCCCUUUCGGGGGUACACGAGUGGCGCACGGGUGAGUAACACGUGCGUAACCUGCCCACAACUUUGGGAUAACGCUAGGAAACUGGUGCUAAUACUGGAUAUGUGCUCCUGCUGCAUGGUGGGGGUUGGAAAGCUCCGGCGGUUGUGGAUGGACUCGCGGCCUAUCAGCUUGUUGGUGGGGUAGUGGCCUACCAAGGCGGCGACGGGUAGCCGGCCUGAGAGGGUGACCGGCCAAAUUGGGAAUGAGAUACGGCCCAGACUCCUACGGGAGGCAGCAGUGGGGAAUAUUGCACAAUGGGCGCAAGCCUGAUGCAGCAACGCCGCGUGCGGGAUGACGGCCUUCGGGUUGUAAACCGCGUUCAGCAGGGACGAAGCUUUUUGUGACGGUACCUGCAGAAGAAGCACCGGCUAACUACGUG
rnacentral:rRNA from 1 species